UACUGAUGGUGCGAGCGUUGUCCGGAAUCACUGGGCGUAAAGGGCGCGUAGGUGGCCUGGUAAGUCGGGGGUGAAAUCUCGCGGCUCAACUGCGAGGCUGCCUCCUAAACUGUCAGGCUCGAGCAAAGUAGAGGCAGGUGGAAUUCCCGGUGUAGCGGUGGAAUGCGUAGAUAUGCGGAGGAACACCGAUGGCGAAGGCAACCCCCUGGGCCUGCACUGACGCUCAUGCACGAAAGCGUGGGGAGCAAACAGG
rnacentral:rRNA from 1 species